AAUCGCACAGGCCAAUACCCUGUGUGGAUGACGGUACCAGCAUAAGAAGCACCGGCUAACUACGUGCCAGCAGCCGCGGUAAUACGUAGGGUGCGAGCGUUAAUCGGAAUUACUGGGCGUAAAGCGUGCGCAGGCGGUUAGGUAAGUUUGAUGUGAAAUCCCCGGGCUCAACCUGGGAACUGCAUUGAAGACUGCCUAACUAGAGUACGGCAGAGGGGGGUGGAAUUCCACGUGUAGCAGUGAAAUGCGUAGAGAUGUGGAGGAACACCGAUGGCGAAGGCAGCCCCCUGGGUCGAUACUGACGCUCAUGCACGAAAGCGUGGGGAGCAAACAGGAUUAGAUACCCUGGUAGUCCACGCCCUAAACGAUGUCAACUAGUUGUUGGUAGGGUUAAACCUAUUAGUAACGUAGCUAACGCGUGAAGUUGACCGCCUGGGGAGUACGGUCGCAAGAUUAAA
rnacentral:rRNA from 1 species